GAUGAACGCUAGCGGGAGGCCUAACACAUGCAAGCCGAGCGGUAGAGUUUCUUCGGAAACUUGAGAGCGGCGCACGGGUGCGUAACACGUGUGCAACCUACCUUUAUCUGGGGGAUAGCCUUUCGAAAGGAAGAUUAAUACCCCAUAAUAUAAUGAUUGGCAUCAAUUAUUAUUGAAAACUCCGGUGGAUAGAGAUGGGCACGCGCAAGAUUAGAUAGUUGGUGAGGUAACGGCUCACCAAGUCAAUGAUCUUUAGGGGUCCUGAGAGGGAGAUCCCCCACACUGGUACUGAGACCCGGACCAGACUCCUACGGGAGGCAGCAGUGAGGAAUAUUGGACAAUGGGUGAGAGCCUGAUCCAGCCAUCCCGCGUGAAGGAUGACGGUCCUAUGGAUUGUAAACUUCUUUUGUACAGGGAUAAACCUACCCUCGUGAGGGUAGCUGAAGGUACUGUACGAAUAAGCACCGGCUAACUCCGUG
rnacentral:rRNA from 1 species